UACAGAGGGGGCAAGCGUUGUUCGGAAUUACUGGGCGUAAAGGGCGCGUAGGCGGCCUGUUAAGUCGAACGUGAAAUCCCCGGGCUCAACCCGGGAACUGCGUCCGAUACUGGCAGGCUUGAAUUCGGGAGAGGGAUGCGGAAUUCCAGGUGUAGCGGUGAAAUGCGUAGAUAUGACCCGGAACACCUAUUGCGAAGGCAGCAGGCUAAACAAAUAUUGACGCUGAGGCUCGAAAGCGUGGGGAUCAAACAGG
rnacentral:rRNA from 1 species